CAAGAGGCAACUUGUUCCUACUCAUCACAAUCUUGAAGGCUGUGUUCUAGGUGUUCCCAGACAUCACAUUCAUGAAGGCUGUGUUUUAGGUGUUUCCCACACAUCACAUUCAUGAAGGUUGUGUUCUAGGUGUUCCCACACGUCACACUCAUGAAGUCUGUGUUCUAGGUGUUCCCACACAUCACAUUCAUGAAGGCUGUGUUCUAGGUGUUCCCACACAUCACAUUCAUGAAGGCUGUGUUCUAGGUGUUCCCACACGUCACAUUCAUGAAGGCUGUGUUCUAGGUGUUCCCACACAUCACAAUCAUGAGGCUGUAUUCUGGGCGUUCCUACACAUCACAAUCAUGAGGCUGCAUUCUGGGUCGGAAUGGUAGCCAUGCACCAGCGGCUCAAAUAUCAAUUUCCUUUAAAU